rnacentral:rRNA from 1 species
UACGGAGGGUGCAAGCGUUAUCCGGAUUCACUGGGUUUAAAGGGAGCGUAGGUGGGAUGGUAAGUCAGUGGUGAAAUCUCCGGGCUUAACUCGGAAACUGCCGUUGAUACUAUCAUUUCUUGAAUAUUGUGGAGGUAAGCGGAAUAUGUCAUGUAGCGGUGAAAUGCUUAGAUAUGACAUAGAACACCAAUAGCGAAGGCAGCUUGCUACACAAUUAUUGACACUGAGGCUCGAAAGCGUGGGGAUCAAACAGG